CAUGACAUGAAGUUAGGUGAGCAAACCCGCUGAAUUUAAGCAUAUAAGUAAGCGGAGGAUAAGAAACUAAAUAGGAUUCCCUUAGUAAUGGCGAAUGAACAGGGAUAAGCUCAGCAUGGAAAUUGGGGCCUCUGGCCUUGAAUUGUAGUCUUGAGAUGUGCUGCCAACGGAGGCGCAGAUGUAAGCCUCUUGGAAAAGAGCAUCAGGGAGGGUGAGAGUCCCGUAUGUCAUCUGCAGUUCUCUGUGCACGGUGCAUUUUCUAAGAGUCACGUUCCUCGGGAUUGGAGCGCAAAUUGGGUGGUAAAUUUCAUCUAAAGCUAAAUAUUGGUUCGAGACCGAUAGCAAACAAGUACCAUGAGGGAAAGGUGAAAAGGACUUUGAAAAGAGAGUUAAAAGUGCCUGAAAUUGCUGAAAGGGAAGCGAAUGGAACCAGUUGUUCUUGGCGAGUAUUGGUGUUGUCUAAAGUGAUGGCUUGUCACUUCAACGCAAGUGUGGUGGCAAGUUUUGAUCUGGAUGUGAUACUGCUUCUCGCCUUGUGUGUCAACGUCAGUUCAUAAUUGAGGAAAACUCUAGGGACAUGGUAAUUUGCUUCCGGGUGACUGAAUGUGCCUAGUCGAACUCAUUUUUGAACUGCUCCCUGUGUGUCUGGUCGCAGUGCUCUGUGUUUGCCUGCAUUCUCUUGCUGGCUCCCUGGCAUGAGAAUUGCUGGUGCCCGGAGCAUGUCCUUGACAUAAGUACGAUGACGAAAUGGUUUUAUUCGACCCGUCUUGAAACACGGACCAAGGAGUCUAACAUAUGUGCAAGUUCACGGGCGGGAAAACCUGCUUGCGCAAUGAAAGUGACUGCUGGGAUAUCUGCACCAGCAACCGACCAAUCAAUUGUGAGAGGUUUGAGUAUGAGCAUAUCUGUUAGGACCCGAAAGAUGGUGAACUAUGCCUGAGCAGGGUGAAGUCAGGGGAAACUCUGAUGGAGGCUCGUAGCGAUACUGACGUGCAAAUCGUUCGUCAUA
rnacentral:rRNA from 1 species